AACGCAUAUUGCGCUCUUUGGUAUUCCGAAGAGCAUGCUUGUUUGAGUAUCAGUAAACACCUCAAAGCUUUUGAUUUAUUUUGAAGGCUUUGGACUUGAGCGAUCCCAACACCAAUCUUUUAAGAUUGGCGGCGGGUUGCUUGAAAUGCAGGUGCAGCUGGACAUUCUCCUGAGCUAAAAGCAUAUUUAUUUAGUCCCGUCAAACGGAUUAUUACUUUUGCUGCAGCUAAUGUAAAGGGAGUUUGGCCGUUUUGGCUGACUGAUGCAGGAUUUCACAAGGGUCGGCAACGAUUCUUGUUAAACUCGAUCUCAAAUCAAGUAAGACUACCCGCUGAACUUAA
rnacentral:misc_RNA from 1 species